UUUUUUUUCCUUUUUUUCCUUUUUUUUUUCUUUUAAAAUUUUCCAUUUUAAGUUGGUUAUUUCUGAUUAAUAUUUAAAAGCAAAUAAUAAUGAUAUGGUAGGAGAUACACACCAAACAGGAUGUGUAAAUUAUUAUAUAAUAAGUAUUGUGCAAUAGCAAGACAUUUUCAAUUGCACAGUAUUGCACAAUUGCAAGAAAUCUUCAAUUGCACAGUAUUGCGCAAUAGCAAGAAAUCUUCAAUUGCACAGUAUUGCACAAUAGCAAGAAAUAUCCAAUAGCACAAUAUUGCGCAAUAGCAAGAAAUUGUCAAUUGUACAGUAUUGCACAAUAGCAAGAAAUAUUCAAUUGCACAGUAUUGUGCAAAAGAAGAUACUUCGUAUAAAUUGCUUAUUUCUUGAUCAAUUUCAAUGGGGUUUUAUUCUUGAAUUCUUGGGGUUCUUUAAUAUGCUGAAUCUAACCGUGUAUUAAGUUUUUGGAUUUUGGGCCCCGUUUUUAAAUUGGUCCACAUUGAGGUCCAAAGGGUCCAAAAUUUAACUUUGUUUGAUUUCAUCAAAAAUUGAAUUAUUGGGGUUCUUUGAUAUGCCGAAUCUAACCGUGUAUUUAGAUUCUUAAUUUUUGGUUCCGUUUUCAAAUUGGUCUACAUUAAGUUCAAAAGGGUCCAAAAUUAAACUUAGUUUGAUUUUAACAAAAAUUGAAUUUUUAGGGUACUUUGAUAUGCUGAAUCUAAACAUGUAUUUAGAUUUUUGAUUAUGGGCCCAGUUUUCAAGUUGGUCCAAAUCGGGGUCCAAAAUUAAACUUUGUUUGAUUUCAACAAAAAUUGAAUAUAUGGGGUUCUUUGAUAUGCUGAAUCUAACCAUGUAUUUAGAUUUUUGAUUUUUGGGCCCCGUUAUCAACUUUGUCCACAUUGAGGUCAAAAGGGUCCAAAAUUAAACUUUGUUUGAUUUCAUCAAAAAUUGAAUUAUUGGGGUUCUUUGAUAUGCCAAAUCUAACCGUGUUUUUAGAUUUUUAAUUUUGGGUCCCGUUUUUUAAAUUGGUCUACAUUAAGGUCCAAAGGGUCCAAAAUUAAACUUAGUUUGAUUUUAACAAAAAUUGAAUUCUUGGGGUACUUUGAUAUGCUGAAUCUAAACAUGCGUUUAGAUUUUUGAUUAUGGGACCAGUUUAAAGUUUGUACAAGUUGGGGUCCAAAAUUAAACUUUGUUUGAUUUCAACAAAAAUUGAAUAUAUGGGGUUCUUUGAUAUGCUGAAUCUAACCAUGUAUUUUGAUUUUGGACAUUGGACCAUAAUAGGUAAAUUAAAAAAAAUUGAAGUUCUUAGACCACAUUCUUUCUGUGUCAGAAAUCUAUGCUGUGUCAAAUAUUUAAUCACAAUCCAAAUUCAGAGCUGUAUCAAGCUUGAAUGUUGUGUCCAUACUUGCCCCAACUGUUCAGGGUUCGACCUCUGCGGUCGUAUCAAGCUGCGCCCAGCGAAGCAUUUUAUU